ensembl:snRNA U2 U2 spliceosomal RNA
AUCACUUCUCGGCCUUUUGGCUAAGACCAAGUGUAGCGUCUGUUCUUAUCAGUUUAAUAUCUGAUAAAUCCUCUAUCCAAAACAGACUUAUGGUAAAGGGAAUAGUU